CCUUCGAUAGCUCAGUUGGUAGAGCGGUGGACUGUAGAAAAUUUGGAGCGUGACCGAUCAAGUAGUGAAAAGUGAUCAAAAAACUCCAAUCAACAAUAGAUAGUAAUCCAUAGGUCACUGGUUCAAAUCCGGUUCGAAGGA
rnacentral:tRNA from 1 species